GGAUGUUGGCUUAGAAGCAGCCACCAUUAAAAGAGUGCGUAAUAGCUCACUGGUCCAGGGGUUUUGCGCCGAAAAUGUAACGGGGCUCAAACAAUGUACCGAAGACGCGGAAUUACAGAUGUAAUUGGUAGAGGAGCGUUCUCAUUGGGGAGAAGCGAUACCGAGAGGAGUCGUGGACUAAUGAGAAGAGAGAAUGCCGGUAUAAGUACACGAUAAGGCAGGUGAGAAUCCUGCCCGCCGGAAGUCUAAGGGUUCCUGGGGAAGGCUCGUCCACCCAGGGUAAGUCGGGGCCUAAGGCAAGGCCGAAAGGCGUAGUCGAUGGGAAACAGGUAGAUAUUCCUGUACCACCGCUAUAUGAUGACGACGCAGUGACGCAGAAAGGUAGAGCGAGCGGCCAGUUGGUGAGCCGUUCAAGUGAGUAGGGUGUUUGGUAGGCAAAUCCGCCAAACGGAAGCCUGAGACACGAUGACGAGUGAAAAAUAGUAACGAAGUCCUUGAUCCUCCGCUGCCAAGAAAAGCUGCUAAGGAAUAUAGAGGUGCCCGUACCGCAAACCGACACAGGUAGACAGGUAGAGAAUACUAAGGCGCGCGAGAUAACUCUUGUUAAGGAACUCUGCAAAAUGAACCCGUAACUUCGGGAGAAGGGUUGCUGACCAUGGUGAGUAUGGACAAUACAGAGCUGAGGUCAGUCGCAGUGAAAAGGUCCAGGCGACUGUUUAGCAAAAACACAGGUCAUUGCAAAAUCGCAAGAUGAAGUAUAAUGGCUGACGCCUGCCCGGUGCUGGAAGGUUAAGGGGAAGAGUGCAAGCUUUGAACCGAAGCCCCAGUAAACGGCGGCCGUAACUAUAACGGUCCUAAGGUAGCGAAAUUCCUUGUCGGGUAAGUUCCGACCCGCACGAAAGGCGAAACGAUCUGGACGCUGUCUCAACAAGGGACUCGGUGAAAUUGAAAUUCCGGUAAAGAUGCCGGAUACCUGCGAUAGGACAGAAAGACCCCAUGGAGCUUUACUGUAGCCUGAUAUUGGGUUUCGGAUAUUCAUGUACAGGAUAGGUGGGAGACUAGGAAUCGAGGACGCCAGUUUUCGAGGAGUCACUGGUGGGAUACCACCCUUAAAUGUUUGGAAUUCUAACAAGGAGUCUUGAAGCAGAUUAUUGGACAGUGUCAGGUGGGCAGUUUGACUGGGGCGGUCGCCUCCCAAAAGGUAACGGAGGCGCUCAAAGGUUCCCUCAGAACGGAUGGAAAUCGUUCGCAGAGUGCAAAGGCAGAAGGGAGCUUGACUGCGAGAGCAACAACUCGAGCAGAUAGGAAACUAGGACUUAGUGAUCCGGCGGUCGCGAGUGGAAGUGCCGUCGCUCAACGGAUAAAAGCUACCCUGGGGAUAACAGGCUUAUCUCCCCCAAGAGUCCACAUCGACGGGGAGGUUUGGCACCUCGAUGUCGGCUCAUCGCAUCCUGGGGCUGUAUUCGGUCCCAAGGGUUUGGCUGUUCGCCAAUUAAAGCGGUACGCGAGCUGGGUUCAGAACGUCGUGAGACAGUUCGGUCCCUAUCCAUCGCGGGCGUAGGAAAUUUGAAGGGAGCUGACCCUAGUACGAGAGGACCGGGUUGGACAGACCGCUGGUGAACCAGUUGUCCUGCCAAGGGCAUAGCUGGGUAGCUAAGUCUGGAAGAGAUAAACGCUGAAAGCAUCUAAGCGUGAAGCGAACCUUAAGAUGAGAUUUCCAAGUAGCAAUACGAGAGACACCAGAGAGAAUAACUGGUAGAUAGGUCAGGAGUGUAAGUGUGGUGACACAUUGAGCGGACUGAUACUAAUAAGUCGAGUACUUAGCCAA
rnacentral:rRNA from 1 species